rnacentral:lncRNA from 1 species
AGACUUAGCCCAAGCGGUGCCACCUCCUGGCCUAGGCGGUUGCACCUCCUGGUGCAAUCAGGGUCCGAAUGGUUAGCUCCAUUCGGCCCAAUUUCAGUCCUUCAGGGGCCCAAUUGCCCCAAGAUUAAGCUAAUGGGAUCACCUCCCAUUUUCCAACUUAAUCAACGUGCUAACUACGAUUAAAUCUAAGACAAUUUCUGCAGCUUUGCUUCGGUGCGUCAAUCGCUUCUUCCGGCGAGUUUCCGACGAACUUCCAUCGAUCAUCCGAUGAACCCUCGGUGAUGCUCCUGCGGACUUCCGGCAAACUCCUGGACUUUGCGACGAUCCACUUGGCGAGUUCCGACGAGCUUCGCUUGGUAAGCUUCUGGACUUCUCGGAUCUGUUCUCGCAGAACCUCCGACGACCGUCCGAACUUCCGUCGAACUCUCGAACUCCCAACGUGAUCAUGAACUUGACUCCGGCGCAACUCCUGCUGCUUGUCUAACUUUCAUCAUAGUUAAUUCUGCACACUUAAAGCAAAACUUCGAUCGAGACAAUUAAUCCUAAGCAAUUAACCAAGUUGUCCGGCAUGUCAUUGGUCCCUCGACG